rnacentral:rRNA from 1 species
GCUGUUAAGGGUUCGUAGUUGAAUUGUGGAAUGAGGAACCGGGGCUUCACCCUUUUCCCCGGUCUAGGGACACCCCGACCUCAUUUCGUGAACGUCAGAAACAGAUAUCACGGGAGCGUUUGCCAGCAGACACGCGAGCAAUGCACGCAGCUGGACGUCCGUGUUUUUUACUGUGACUAAGAAGUGCGACCAAAGCAGUCCUAACGACAUGAAUUAGAAAGCAUGGGAUAACAAAGGGCGGCCUAUGAGAUACCGUUUAGGCUUUUGUUGGUUUUAAAAUCUCGUGGGAGAUUACGGGCUACAGGACCGUCUUUGGUGGGAUCUCUGGUCUCCCGAGGCUCCUCUGCCGGACGGGGCACUCGACCGUGUAGGGGCCUGUACUUUUUGCUCAGGAAUGAAGGAGGGUUGCUCGGGGGGAACGUACUUGGGCGUGAGAGGUGAAAUUCUUAGACCGCCCAAAGACGAACUACAGCGAGGCAUUCUCCAAGGAUACCUUCCUCAAUCAAGAACCAAAGUGUGGAGAUCGAAGAUGUUAGAGACCAUUGUAGUCC